GUCCCUCUUUCUCUUUUCUGCAAUUUGUCAUGGAAAAGCAAUAAUAAUUUUCUAAGUUCUCCUUCUUCCGUCCAAUUAUUUGGGUGCUUGUACAUUUCUCCUCCUCCUUCCCCAUCCAUCCUCAUGAACAAAACCCUUUCCAAAUUGAGAUUUACCACCAUACAAGAACCCUAAAUCCACAACUUAGACCAUUUCGUUUUCUUUGAUACAAAUGGCGGAUGUUGCCCCACAAUCUCAGCUCAUCCCUAAUCUCCCAGACGACAUAGCCUUACAAUGUCUAGCAAGAAUCCCCCGUUCCCAUCACCCUACACUGUAUCUCGUCUCCAAAUCUUGGCGGUCCACCUUAACUUCCCCUGCACUCUACAACACCCGAUCACUCCUCCGUACUACCGAGAAUUUCCUCUACCUAAAACUCCGUAUUAACUCCACUUUCCACUGGUACACUCUCGUCUCCCACAAAUUGUUUCCAGUUUGUUCAAUGCCCGUUAAGCCGAUUGGACCGGCUUUCGCUGUAUUGGGAUCCAAGAUAUAUGUGAUUGGUGGAUCUAUUGCUGAAAUACCGUCGAAUAAUGUGUGGGUUUUUGAUUGUAGGUUUAAUUGUUGGGAAAUGGGACCGAGGAUGAGGAUUGGUAGAGAAUUUGCUGCGGCUGGUGUUGUGAAUGGGAAGAUUUAUGUGAUGGGUGGGUGUGUGGUUGAUAACUGGGCGAGGUCGAUGAAUUGGGCCGAGGUUUUUGAUCCCGUAACGGGGUUAUGGACUGCGUUACCGAGUCCGAUUGAAGUUAGGGAUAAGUGGAUGCAUGCUAGUGCGGUUGUGGGGGGCAGGGUUUAUGCGAUGGCGGAUAGGGGAGGAGUGGUGUAUGAUGUUGAAGGGUGUCAAUGGAGGAGUGUGUCGAAAAGGCUUGAUUUGGGUUGGAGAGGACGGGCUGCGGUGGUGGGAGGGGUGUUGUAUUGUUAUGAUUAUUUGGGUAAGAUUAGAGGGUAUGAUGUGAAGGAAGAUGUAUGGAAAGAGUUGAGAGGGGUGGAUAAGGGGUUGCCGAAGUUUUUGUGUGGUGCUACGAUGGUGAAUUUUGAUGAUAGGUUGUGUGUUGUGUGGGAAGGAAAAGGGAGUGGCAAGGAAGUUGAUAUUAUGUGUGCGGAGAUUCAAGUGUGGAGGGAUGAGGAUGGAGGGUUGAGUGGGAACAUUUUGUGGUCGGAUAUGAUUCUUGUUGUUCCUAAUGGUGCCUCAAUUGUGCAAUGCUUGGCAGUUGAUUUGUGAUGAUUACUAAUAAUAAGUAUGUGGAUUGUGGCUGCCUAAUGUGUUAGAUGUGCUUAUGGUGUUGGUAGCAAAAAUAGGGGGAAUUUCUGGAAUGGAUAGUGGAUUGGCAAAAGGUUCCCAUGGAAUCAGAAUUGGGAGGAUUACAUGUGAGGCGUCAGAAAGAUGGACAAUGGUUUGCUGUUGAACCUAUUCCUGGUGCAUUGGGUUGUAUCAAUGGCAUGGUUUUGAAGUUAGAGGUACUAUGGAGGAAAUUCUAGCAGUUGAUGGAAGGAAUUCAGUGUUGUAAAAGGCGCUCGCCACGUCACCAAUGGCGAAUGGCGAGGUGAGGCCUGGUCGCCACUUCACGUCGUGACACUGCGACAAUCAAAAGGCGUCGCCUUUCCGAGAAAGGCGACAUGGCGACAAUGGCGUUGCCUUUUAAUUGGUGACUGCCGCUGCUACCAUUUAUCUCACAAGUUCGAUUCCGGCGACUGGCAAUGUACUCCGGCGACUCCCGCUACUCCGUUGAUUGGAGAUUUUGUGGGAACCUACAUGUUGAUAUUUGCUGGUUGUGCUGCUAUAAUUUUGAAUAUAAACAAGGACAACGUUGUCACACUACCAGGAAUCGCGUCUGUUUGGGGACUUGUUGUCAUGGUUUUAAUUUACUCUGGUGCACAUUUUAACACUGCUGUAACCAUUGCAUUUGCCACUAGUCCUGGAGAAUGCUUAACUAGUCCUGCCUGUACUGGGGAAUGCAAUAUCAUUGAGCCAGCAAAAGCACUAAUCAGUGAAACCAAUCCUCCUAAAUACAAGUCAUUCUCCUACACCGAGUACUUGAAGAUUUUCUUCACUGACACCUCUGAAUUUGAAGCUGCUCUCAACCCAUAUAAGCUUUAGUUUAUUUAUCCCUAAGGAAUAAAUGAUGCGCUUUUGAUUGGAGUAAGGCUGCAUGCGACAAACCCUUGUGUUUCAGUCUUUACCUGGACUCUCGUUUAUCAUGUUUUGCUCCGUAAAGUUAUCCAAUGACCUUGAAUAAAGUGACCUUGAUCUUCUGACCACAAUAGCAAUAUGUACAAAUCUUUAAGGUCAAAGACCAAAAAGUGUAUAUGAGAAAAAAACUGUUUAAUCUUA